GCUAUGUUACAGGCAUAUGGAAAUCAAUGCCCCGGUUCUUGCGUUCAGCGUGCACGAUUCCAUAACGGCUUCUGAUGCACAGAACGUCACAUUAGUAUUCGAAUUAUUUAAUACAGACUUAGCAAAACCGUCUUGCAGCUUCUGGGAAAAGGGUAAUUCAAGUGGUGAAGGCUUCUGGUCUAGCGAAGGAUGCAAACUGGUAGAAUAUAACCACCAGACAGGACUUGUAACAUGCUCAUGCAAUCAUCUCACCAACUUUGCUGUCCUGAUGAGUCCAGGCGUUACAGUAGAAAAGGUACA